ACAUCCCUCAAAUAUUGGGUUUCCUAAAACAAUUGGCCUCCACUCUUCUUUCCUUCCAACCCUUUCCAUUUUUGCUUUGUUUCUGCUUUGGAUGAUCAAAGGAUUCCAUCUCCUGUUGUUGUGGAUCAUUUAAUAUUAUGCUGUGAGAUUCUUGCAAAGUUGGAUUUCAUCUAUCGUUAGUAAGUGUGCCCUUUUCAGCUCUACUCCCUUCCCCUUUAUUUUUGCUUCUGACAUCUUUGUUCAUAGCUGAUUUCUCCGGUACAAUGAACUCAGUUCAUUUCUCCAGGUGGUGCUCGCCUGGGGUGCCUUGGAAGCUGCAUUCCGCCACUUCCAACUGGGAAUAAGUGUCUCCUCCAGGUUCACUCGCUUGAACCUUGUAACCCCCAAAUUGCUGAGUCCUUGUUGUUUUUAGCUGAGAUAGCCAUGUCUAUUUAGCAUUUCACAUCUUUUAUCACCUCUGUGGCUUUUGUAAAUUCUGUUAUUGUGAAUAAACUUUAUAUUGUAGCCUCCCCUUCCCCAUUAUCUCCUUAAGGAAGAUAUCCUUAAAUAUGGGAUUUGACUUUUAUCACUGUUUAAGAUUCUCCUUCCGUGUGGUUCAAGGCUUUUGAAAUCUUCAUAUCUGCAAGUCCCCUGUUCUAUUGCUUUGUUUGCUAGGUAGUCAGCAAGUUGAUUUCCCUCCCUCAAAAUGUGUUGAACUGUAUAUUGUUUAUCUUGUAAGCAUGUUUUGAUUUCUUCCACAAUAUCUGAAAGUGACCAUGGGGUGACCCAUUUUCCUUUUAGCACUUCGCACAUUAACAUAGAAUCAGUUUGAAUAAUGACCUGAUUAUAUUGAGAGGUCUUGCAAUGUUUGCUGGCUUCUAAAAUUGCUACUGCUUCUGCCAUAGUACUUGUUGUAUUUUCAAUCUUGGCACCUUCUGCAAAUAUAAUGUCUCCAUUCUCAUCUCUUAGACAGUAGGCAUAUGAACUCAAUCCAUAACAUCCUUUAGCUGCACCAUCCGUGUUAUAUUUGAUCCAUCCAGCCGGUGGGCAUUCCCAUUUAACCUGAACGACCUUAAUUUUAGGCUUAUAUUCCUCUAGUUCCUUAAGUAUUUCUGGCCAGCUUCCUCCUCUCAUGGUAGGCCUCUUCACUUUAGCUAACAUAUUCAAGUGCCUGGUCACAUUGUGAAUUAUUCUGGGAAGUGAAGUGCUUUUUCCUUCAUGCUUCUGUUUGUUCCUUCUUUUCCACAGUUCCCAAAUUAUAAAUCAUGGAAUAGCUCUAUAAUAAGGUCUCAUAUCUGUCUUAAUGUUUGCACCCCCACCAUAACAUUAUAACUUCCCUUAGUUGCAAUCCUGUAAUGUUUAGACCUGCAAAAAGAACAAAAGUAGGACCAAGUCCUGUUAGCAAUUUCUGAUUUUCGAAACACAUGUGAUAGUGUUUCUUGAUCAGGUUUAUCACAACACCAGCAUCUUGAAGGUCCUUCAAGGCCCCACCUUCUCAGCCUAUCAUCCAUAGGGAUUUUGAACUUCCACAACCUCCACAUCAUAAAGGCUACUUUGAAAGGAGUCCCCUUAGUCUAAAUCCACCUAUGUAUUAUAUUUGGUUCCUCCUUGUGCCUUAUUUAGUUCCAUGCUUUUUUGACUGAGAAAACACCCCUCGUAUCUAACAUCCAACAAGGUUUGUCAUCUGUGUUACCUUUAGGGGGCUUGGUUUGGCUUAUGAUGUGUUCAACAUAUUCUGCUGGCAGUGUUUCAUUCAAUAAAUCCAUAUCCCAUUCCCCAUUUUUUGUUAGAUCCCUAACUACUUCAUACCUUUCAUCCCAUGCAAAGUUUUCCCCCGUAAUUGUAUACAGGUCCCCCAGUCCUGUCCAGUUAUCGUGCCAUAGUGAAGCUGAUCCAUUCUUAGUUUGCCAGAGUAUUUGAUGCUGAUUAGAUCUCUUGCUUGUAGCAUUUUCUUCCACACUUGUGAACCUCCUCCUCCUACUUUCCACAUGACCAGAUUCUGAUUCUUUGACUUGCAAUAUUUGUUUCUCAUGUAUUCACUCUAUAAAGACUUCUUUGUUCUAUAAUUCCACCAAAGCUUACAAAACAAAGCCAUUGAAAUAUCAUGCAUUAGUCUAAAACCUAUCCCUCCUUCCUGCUCUGGUAGACAUAGGUUUCCCCAUUUACUCCAAUGUCUGCCUCUUCCUCCUACGCAACUACUCCAAAAGAAUUGAGCCAUCAUUUUUUGCACAUCAGUUAAGACAUUGCUGGGAGGAUUCAUGACUGAUAAACAAUGUAUAGGAAUACUCUGUAGUACAUGUUUAAUUAGAACUGCUCGUCCCCCAUAAGAUAAUAACUUACCUUUCCAUCCUUGUAUUUUAGCUCCUAUCCUUUGAAUCAACUGUUUAUAGUACGUUUUUUGCUUUCUCUUGUAAAAGAUAGGGCAGCCUAAAUACGUAAAAGGAAAUUCUUUCCUUAGGAUUCCUGUUGCUACUUCUGCUACCACUGAUUCUCCUCUGUUGACACUAUGGUGCAAGUAGAUUGCACUUUUGUCUUUAUUCACCUUUUGUCCAGAUAUCUCUUCAUACUUCUGCAAUGUUUCGCUGACCAUUUUCAUUGUGCCUACCUCCGCUUUACAUAAUAUGAUCAUAUCGUCCGCAAACGCUAAAUGAUUUAGCUUCAAGCUUCCUCUUGGCAUACCAAAUCUUUUAAACUCUUUCUUUAUCAUUAGGGCGUUUAGGGCUCUAGACAUCACUUCUGCUGCCAAUAUAAAAAGAGUGGGUGAUAAAGGGUCACCCUGUUUGAGACCUCUUGAGGAUUUGAAAAAACCUUUCGGCUGUCCAUUUAGCAAAACUGAGUACCAGUUGUUGCUAAUCAGUCUAAACACCAUAUCAAUUAUUCUAUCCCCAAAUCCCAGUCUCCUCAUCACCUUUGUUAGAAAAAGCCACUCAACUCUGUCAUAAGCUUUCAUCAUAUCCAACUUAAUAACUAAAUUAGGUGGUGUUCCCCUUUUUCUUAUUUCUGAAAUUAUUUCUUGAACCAGUAAUACAUUCUCUGCUAUACUUCUCCCUUGUACAAAUCCUGCUUGUUCCGGAGAGAUGAUUUGAGGGAGUACUUCUUUAAUUCUCUCAUGGAUAAUUCAUGAAAAAAUUUUGUUCACAAAAUUACUCAGAGAAAUAGGCCUCAAAUCUGAAAAUGUACUAAACAACAUCUUCUUUGGAAUAAGGACUAGAUUUGUGUGUGUGAUGUACCUAGGUAGUUCAGCUCCACAGAAAAAAGCUAUAGUCAUUUUAUGAAUGUCAUUCCCAAUGAUUUCCCAAGUACUUUGAUAGAAGGCCCCUGUCAUCCCAUCUGGUCCUCCUGCACUAUUUUGAUUUAGCCCCAUAACCGCUUUUUUGACCUCUUCUAUCGUUGGCACUCUCUGCAUCUCCUCAUUCCUAUCUCCACUUACUACUUGUGGUAGUUCAUUCAGCAUUUCAUAAUCUCCACUGGCCUCUAGCAUUUUGAAUUGUUUGGUAUAAAAUUCCACUGCUGCUCCUGCUAUAUCCUCUUGAUCCUCUAUCCACUCCCCUUCCUCACUUUGAAUUCUGUUUACAUGCAGCCUAUUUCUUCUACCUUUCACAAUGGUAUGGAAAAAAUUUGUAUUUCUCUCUCCAUCCUUAAACCACUCCAUUCCAGCUUUUUGUUUCCAGAAUUCUUCUUCUCUAUGAAGUUGUUUUUUUAAUGCUGCCUGUGCUUUAUGUAGCGUUUCCCGAUUUAAUCCUGUUGGAUUUGCUUCAAAUAUUAUCUUUUUUACUUUAAUGAUCUCUUCUAAAGUAGCUAUCUCUUGAAAAAUGUUGCCAAAGGUCUCUUUACUCCACUGCGUUAAUGCUCGCUUGACCCUUUUUAGUUUAUGAUGAAAUACACUAAACGGAUCCCCUUCAAAGUCCGCUUUCCAAUGGUCUUGCACUACUCCCUUGAAAGAUUCUUCCUGUAUCCAGAAAUUCAAAAAUCUGAAUGGUUUACUAACUCUCUCGUUGGUCACUUUGAAUGAGAUCAAUAAUGGCGUAUGAUCGGACCCACUCCUUAUGAGGUGUUCAAUUUCUACUACUGGAAAUAUAUUAUGUAAUUUAUCGUUACACAACACUCUAUCCAGUCUUUUAAAAAUGCAUUCUUCAUCAGUUCUACCAUUCCACCACGUGUACUUGCUUCCUUUGAAUCCCUUAUCCUCCAAGUUGCACAUGUUUAUACAGUGGUUAAAGUCUCUACUUUCUGAGUCUGUCACUGGUCUUCCCCUUAGUUUUUCCUCUUCAUUGCUAAUAACAUUAAAAUCGCCUCCUACCAUCCAUGGUAUCGUGCUAUUAUUUGCCAUCUCAUACAUCGACUCCCACAGUUGUAGUCUUUCUAGUUGUGUGCAUUUAGCAUAUACCAAAGAUAUUAGAACUUCAAUGCCCAAUCCUUGAUUCUUCAAUUUGACAGUUAACAUCUGCUCUUCAUCUCUAAUCAGUUCGAUUUCCAUAAUCUCAUCAAUAAAAGCCCAUAUCUUGCCAUUAGUACUAGCUACUGCCUGUUUCUUACCCAAUCUUCUUGUAAACUCCUCUAGUCCUUGAUUAUCUUCAAAAGGUUCCAUUAAUCCAAUGAAAUAAAAUUGAUAUCUCUUAUGGAGAUUUAUAAGUCUUGUAAACGCUUUUUGAGUGUUUACUGACCUAAUAUUCCAUAUUAAAGCCUUCAUUGAUAUUUGGAAUUUUUGACAAUCGUUCUCUUCGAUUGUCUAGAUGCUGCUUGAGCCUUUGAAAGAUUUUCUUCACUUUGUUCCCUUUGUUUUGUAUAUUUUCCUUUGAGCUUCCCUGUAUGUUUAGGCGAUAAAUCACCUUCCACUGCCAUUUGACUUAUAUUUUGGGAUAAGUCGUCCUUCUCUACUUCCCUUACACUUUGUUCUGAAAGCUGCUGUAAUUCCUUCUUUCCUUCUUCUCUCCCCUGUUCAUCUUCCAUUUGAAAAGCCAGUGGUAAUAUUUCCUCAAUACUCACUUCUGCCACCACUAUAGUACCUUCAUUGAUUUCAAUAUCUCCACUUCCCUCCAUUAGCUUUUCUUCCGCCUUUUCUUUAUCUGCUUCUUUCACUUGCAUUCCUUGCUUACCCUCUGCCUCAAUUUUCUUACCCAUGUCCUCUUUGUGAAUCUCCUUCAUUUCCCCUUUGUCGUUUUUCUCCUUGUGGACAAAUGUUUUGUUCACCCACUCUUUAGUACUGUCUUUUUCCCUUGUAUCUUCAUUGUUAUUUUCUAUAUCUAUUACUUCUGUGUCCCUUAGUGCUUCAAAAUUAUUUUUAUCCUGAUAGUCGAUCUCCCCUUCUAUAUGCCCGUAUUUGUCCCUCUUGUACUUAUUCCUUCUCCUUACCAUCCAUUCUUGUCUAUUUUGCCUGUUUCCUACCACUUUCCCACUAGUUAAUGUUCUUCUUUGAUCUGCUGCAGUACCCAUCCUGUUUUGCAUGCUAUCUUGUCUUUCAUGUUGCCUUACUUCUUCACUCUUUACUUCAUACAACUCUGGGUGAAUUGUCCAGCAACUUUGUUCGUCAUGGCCUUGUAAACAACAUUCUUUGCAAUAUUUAGGCAUGUGAUCAUAUUGCACUUUAAUCCACUUGGAUUUUGUCACUCCUGUAACAUCAUCUUCUUCAUUGAUUUUUACUCUCUGGGGUAACUUUGCAGUCAAAUCCACCUCAACUUUUACUCUAGCACAACUUGGUCUUGUCUAAUUCUUUGUUGCCAUGUCCACUGUUAGGGGUCUGCGUACUGCACUUGCUAUUGAGAAGAUAGCCUCCUUAGCAAAAAAAUUUGGUGGUAGAUCUGGGAAUGAUAUCCAUGCCACUCCAAUCGUUGUUUCUACAUCAGGUUCGAACCAUGGAUCCCAUUUAAGGGUACGCAUUUGCCAGUAAUUCUCCUUCACAUUAAUAUAAAACGCUGCUGACGAUAAAACAUGCACAUAAUCCUCGAUCAUUGUAAGUCUGAUCAGUAUGUGCCUUGUAUCCAGAACUCCUAUCGAGCAAUCACCUUUGAUACCACACUGACUCGGGAUCGCCUUCCUCAGUUCUGCAAUAUCUGGUUUGCCAUACGAAAAUUUCCCUAUAAUUGCAAAUUGCAGGUUUUCCUUCAUGAUUAGCAAUCUAACUUCGGACGUCUUCCAUGUAAUGCUUGGUUCCCCUUGUAGAAUUAUCACUGGUUUAGUCGGUAUCACUGGGAUUUGAUGCAUUACAAUUUUGGGUUUAAGCAGGUUGACAUAUUGGAUCUUGUUUGGAUCUGGAUGGGUGGUUUGGUUUUCCGUGAUGAUUGUUUUAGUUAGAGGUGGGAAAUCCUCCGGUGGGAGGCUCCCACCGAUGGUGUUGACUGUCAUGUGGCCGGCGCUUUUCGUAAGGUCCCUCGUGGUCCUUCAAUAACACUAUUUUUCAUUUUUACUCUUAUUAUUGAUAUUUUGUUAUUAUAAUCUCGACAAUCAUCAGUUAUCACUGUUACUUCAUUUCAUGAUCAUCUUAAUAUAAUUAAUAUCGUUCUAAUCGUUUCUUUAAA
rnacentral:lncRNA from 1 species